AACGAACGCUGGCGGCAUGCCUAACACAUGCAAGUCGAACGAUCCCUUCGGGGGUAGUGGCGCACGAGUGCGUAACGCGUGGGAACCUGCCCUUAGGUUCGGAAUAACUCAGAGAAAUUUGAGCUAAUACCGGAUAAUGUCUUCGGACCAAAGAUUUAUCGCCUUUGGAUGGGCCCGCGUUGGAUUAGCUAGUUGGUGGGGUAAAGGCCUACCAAGGCGACGAUCCAUAGCUGGUCUGAGAGGAUGAUCAGCCACACUGGGACUGAGACACGGCCCAGACUCCUACGGGAGGCAGCAGUGGGGAAUAUUGGACAAUGGGCGAAAGCCUGAUCCAGCAAUGCCGCGUGAGUGAUGAAGGCCUUAGGGUGGUAAAGCUCUUUUACCCGGGAUGAUAAUGACAGUACCGGGAGAAUAAGCCCCGGCGAACUCCGG
rnacentral:rRNA from 1 species